GAAGAAGAUUCGAUGGGCUACCUGUGUGGACACACCUGCAAAUUGCACCCUGCAUUGAGAUGUGCCCUUCUGGGUGCAGAAAAUGAGUGCUGCCUUUUCAACAAAGCUCCUCCCCAAAGCUGCAGUCUCAAGCCCAGCUUCGCCUCACAGAGCACACCUACCCUGUGACUCUCCUUCUCAGCUCCUUCAGACUAGAGGUAGCAGCAAUUAGCAAACAUCUGGUGGAACUGCGCAUCUGCUGAGCGCUUUAUAUGACCUACUUCUCAGUUAUGCCACCCCAAACACAGUGCCACUCUGCAGGACCCACAACAGGCAGGAUGCCACAGACAUAAAUAGCCAACAGUUGAAGCAGCAGUCAUCAGGGUUGUGACCGUAAA